rnacentral:lncRNA from 11 species
CAUUUAUCACAGACAAAAUUAGGCCAGUAGAGAACACAGAAGUACAGAGCUUUUUUCUUAUAAAGAGAUCUAGAGAGUGGUACUCAGGUUGUUCAGUGGCUCAUCUCAAGACGGAUCUAACAACGUAGUCUGGGCUCAGUGCCAAAGGCUGGUAUUUCACAGCAGCGACCGCCUUACAGAUGAGCUGUGGGAAGCAGGAGGGAGACUCUCUUAGGGUGCCACUACUAUGGAGACACAGCUGAGCUGAACAAGAUUUGCUUCAUACGACAACAAGAGAGGCAUAAAAAGUGUCUGGUUCAAGCGUUGCCCAAGCAGGCAGUCACCAGAAGAGCUAGCAGCCAAUCCGGCCAUGCUGCACUGUUCGAAACCAGCUCCACAUCUCAGCCAAUCAGUGACAUCAUUGGUCUUCAGGGAUUUUCAUCAGGUAGCUGGCAGCACAAACUUUCUGUUUAACCAUCAAUUGUACAGAAUGAAAAACCUAUACAUCCACAAACAAAAGGCCGAAUUUCAAGUCUUCUGUGUAAUAUACCCUGUUUCCCCUAAAAUAAGACAUCCCCAGAAAAUAAGACCUAGUAGAGGUUUUGCUGAAUUGCUAAAUAUAAGGCCUCCCCCAAAAGUAAGACCUAGCAAAGUUUUUGUUUGGAAGCAUGCCCGCCGAACUGAACACAUGCAGGAUUGGUAAAUGUACGUACCAUAGAGUGUUGUACAUGGAAAUAUUGGUAGUAACAAGAAAUUCUUGAUAGGAUUCACAGUUUGUCUGGUUAUGCUGGUUUGUGAUGACAACUAUAUAUAUAAAAUGUUCAUUUUUUGUUCAAUAAUAAAUGUGCAUUCUUCUUCAUGGAAAAGUAAGACAUUCCCUGAAAAUAAGACCUAGUGCAUCUUUGGGAGCAAAAAUUAAUAUAAGACACCGUCUUAUUUUUGGGAAAACACGGUAGUAGAUAUUUUUAAAAUUACAAACUGGGAUCUAGAAAGGAUCCUAUUAUACUGCAUUUAUUUGCACGCACGCACGCACACACACACACACACACACAUA